GGCAGGGUCUGUCAGAGCCUCCCUGGAAAAGGAAUUCAAGGGGUUGAGCGAAGUUCAGAGUAACAGCGUGGUGCCUAAAGCUCACAACCUGUCCCCAGCCUCGUGCCGAGAACCUGAGAUCCAAACAUUCAGCUGAGAAAAUUCUUGAGACCAGGUCCUGUAUGUGUCAACAAAACAGCCCCUGCUGCCACUAUCCAGACUGAGAGACGGGAGCAAAGAGGAGCAAACGACAGCAGAUCCAACAGCCUGAGCAGUUAUUCUGAGCCUUGGAGGUCAGCACUGAAUUCUGGCCUGCUGUAAGACCAGACCAAGAUGAAGUGAGAAGGCCCCUCUCUUCAACAGGGAGUGGCAGCGCAACGUGGAAAGGCUUAACACAGACACACACUAACACACACACACCUCAUGUCUGUUUAUUCACAUCGGCAAAGCACGUGCAGACACAUGUGCGUGUGCGCACACACACACACACGCACACAAUCUGCCUCACCCUCACAUAGACAUACGCAUACAAAAGCACACCUGUCAGGGCCUUUCCACUGUGUGAGCAAAAGCAAAGAAGUCCGGCCCCCCCUCCGUCUCUCUGUAUGUGGUAUCCCAUGUCUGUUAUAUUAAAGCAAAUCUAUUCAGUUCCCACUUUCUUAUCUGAAAUAAUGGCAUGAGCAAUUUUCACAUUUAAGUAAGCAAGGACACAUGCAGUCUCUCUCUCUUCCACUCUCUCACUUAAUGAAUGGAAUCAGAUCUGGGCCCCUGUGGCUGCGGUCUAAUCUGCCUUUGAAGAUUUCUACAAUUUACAGAAAUAAAUAA
ensembl:lncRNA